CACAAGAGAUAAAUCUGUGAUGUCAAACUGUAUUAGAUUUAACCAAUUAUAAUUUAUUUCACAACUUCACCUCCAUUACAACUUCCAACAAAAAACAACUAAUUUUUUAUAAUAACAAACAAACAGAGAACAAGUAUUAAAAAAACUAAUUUCUUCAAUAAUUUCAUUUCUUGUCUCAUUUCAAUUAUAGUAGGAUCAUACAUAAUGAAAUUAUUUGGCAGCUGCGUUUCAAUAGUUGCUGAUGAUUUUUCUUCAUUUAUAGCUUUGCACUUGCCCAAGAAACCGCAUUUUCCAUUUGGGCACGCAUAGUAGAUUCGACCUUCAUUUCCAUUCUUAUUGGAGCGGGUAAUUUAACAAACCGCAAAUUGCCCACCAUACUUCCUGAUGCCAAGUUGUCUUUCUACAAAUUAAAAUAACAAAUAAACAAAAUACAAAAUACAUCACGGUUUGUUUAUAAACUUUUCUUUAAUGGUACGAGGUUAAAGAUAGGAGAUCAACUUAGUUGCAAGUGAUCUAAUACGAAGUUGCAUUAUCAGUUUAGCUCUCUAAACAACCAAACGAGUGUGCUGCUGACUCCAAGCCUUGAUAGCAUGCGAAGGUAAACUGAAAAAUGCUACUGAAACAUAUUUUAACUUGAGCACACUAUAAUUCAAUGUCAACAUUUGUUAAUACUUCCUCCAGCAGUAACAAUCAAUAUUUAGCCAUAUCUUUGUCAUACAUAGAACUUUGUUCUUACUAAUACUGUUGAUUUCGUAUUUAAGAAUGGAUAGAUUCACAUAACAUUAUACCUUUUAGUUUGAAAUAACAGAACCCAAAUGAAGGCACAACAUUUUGCAUCAUGCUUGUGACCAUAUAUGAAGCCCCUUACCCCUAAAUUUUCAGAAAAUACCUGGUGGAACCCAAGGGAACUUUGCAAGGAAGACUCUGGCGUACAGAUCGUGACAUUAAAACCAAAGAUGGGAACUGAUAUUUCCACAAGGGAAUUGAUAAUUCCGCAAGGUUCCCCUCACAUGAAUAGUAAAUGAGACUCACAUUAAUGUAAGUGAGACUUUAUGGAAAUAUCAAUUAUUCCUUGUGGAAAUAACAAUUCCCAAAUUAUUCUUAUCUUACCCAAAUGAAAUAUAACUAUUGAGUAGAGAAUUACAAGAGGAAUAACUUUAACAGCAAUAGUGGGAGGAAGAGGAUGCAGGCUAUAAUCAUCAUAUUGACUGUUGUUCCAGGAGUGCUUAUGUUGUUUUUUUGUUCCCUUUAUGCUUGGAGAAAGCAUGUUUUGAGGAAAGGUAAACUGAACACUAUAUGAAAUAAAUUUUUUAUUUGGUUAAUAGGCUUUUUAUUACAGAAUACUGGAGAAUGUGAAUGAUGUGCGCAAAUUUGACACAAUUUAGGCUAGCUGCAGAAACAAAGAUACAGAGAAAUGAUACUUGCAAAGUCAAAUACAGAUCUAAUAAAUGACUCCUCCAUUUCCAACAACGUAGGAGACAACAGAAACAUAAAUUACUUGCACAACUAGUCACUAGUCAUUGCAGAAUUCUUGAUUUAGUCAUAGAUUUUUAACCCAAAACAAGAAUUUCAACCAAAACUCACAAGAUUUUGCACAAAUUUUAGGGUUUUGGAAAUUUAGGCGAAUUUAGGCGUAUAAGAGAGUAACGGUAGGAGAAGGAGGAGGAUACAAAAUGGGAAGAAGAUUACCUUGAAAGCCGGUGAUUUUGAUUCUCACUCUUUUGUAGGAGGAAGCUUGUUCCGGUAUGAGUGAAUCAGGGAAUCGCUGCUACAGGUGCUUGCAGUAGGGUUUGCCGGUUUGGUUUAGAGGAUUCGCUCGAAAUCGGUUUAGGAACUGAAAUUGCAUUACAUAUCGAAGCAGUCGCAGGUGUUCGCAGCAGUCGUAGGGAGGGUUUAGGGUCUUCAACAUUCGGCAGCAGUCAGAGGGAGAGAGGGACAGUCGGAGGGAGAGAGGGGGGGAGGGAUCUGCGAAGUCGUAGGGGGAAACGUGGUUGCUACUUCGUUUCCAGUAUUUGUUAUGAUAGGGCAAAUUGGUCUCCAAAUUUUAAUCUUGGGCGUACGCUACUUGGUGUAGUGUAUGAGCUAUAGGUAUUUUUAGGGUACGCUAG
rnacentral:lncRNA from 1 species